UUAUUGCCCUAGCAGGGCUGAAGAUCAAGAGAAAUUUACUGUGGCAUCGCCACUCCAGUCUCUUCCAGGAGAACCCAUUUUCGUUGCAGCUGCUGCCAAGUACAAGCAGGACGCUGACCCCACCUGUUAAAUCCAAGAGGAGGUGCAUCAGCUUGGGAAAAAACAAUUGAGAUCAAGAAUAGAUGAAUAUUUUAAGAACUGUUUCAACACAUGGUAUAAACCUUGGCUGAGCCACCCUCUGUUUUGGGGUUUAGAAAUAAGCUUUUCAGAUAGGUGAGGAAAUUAACACUUCUUCCUUUAGAAACUGAUCACCAAAGAAUGUGUUGAUUUUUAGAAGAAAUCUGUUCAAAAACUCUUGAGGUUUAACAUGAGCUUUUGACUCAUUAAUUACCUCUGUUCAGGCCAUCUCCAAAAUGUAUAUAGUGCAGUAUUCAGAGGAGGCCUAGAAAGGAAAAUUUGGCACUAAGUUAUUGGAUAAUCCAUAUGAAAGAGCAAGCAAUAAUGGGCACUUCCAGACAAGAUUGUUCCUAACCUUUAGAAAGGAGUCUGAAGCCCACCAGCAGGAGUCCUUGCUUCUGCACUUCACUUCUGCAAGCAUCAAAAACAUGAUAAGUCAGUCAAAGCUCAUGCCCAAUAGAAGUUUGCAAAAAAUGCAGCCCUACCUAUUUUCUUCUCCCUGAGCAACUGCAAAUCCUAGAGCAGGGGUUCUCAACCUUGGCAACUUUAAGACUUGUGGACUUCAACUCCCAGAAUUCCUCAGCCAGCUUUGCUGGCUGAGGAAUUCUGGAAGUUGAAGUCCACAAGUCUUAAAGUUGCCAAGGUUGAGAACCCCUGUCCUAGAGCAAUAAAAUGUUCUGUCAGCCUUGCAAAGUAAUCCAGACAAGAAACACACACAAACUCUUCGACUAAAGUUGUAUGUAUAACAGCUAAGAGGAAAAGUGGAAGCCACCUGUCUCUCUGUAAUAUAUAUUAUCAUGUGUGCAUAUAUAGAACAGAAAUAUAGAAGAGAAACAUGAAUAAAUAUGUGUGUAUACAUACAUACAUACACACACACAUAUAUACAUACACAGACACACACUCAUAUAUUCAUGUUUUCUGUUCUAUAUUUCUGUUCUAUAUAGGCACACAUGAUAUUAUAUAUUAGAGAAAGAUAGCUGGCUUCUGAUUUUCCUCUGUGUAUACAUACAUAUUAUACAUGUAUAUAUGUAUACACAUAUACAUACACACAUAUAUUUUUGGUCUUUUUUCAAUCUCUUUUUUUCUUUGUAUCUUCCUUUCCUUCCUUUUUUCUUUUUCACAUUUACUUUAUUAUAUUUUUCUUUGAAUGUAUUUCUUAGUGUAUGUAAACUCUUUUACUAAAAUCGUUUUUUUUUUUAAAAAAAAAAAAGAUAUUUAUUCUGCAGAUAUAGUUGAAUCCAAUGCCAGGUUCAUUUUCUGUCACUUUACACUGUAUUGUAAUGACAUUAUUUUAAUUAUAAUUUAAAAUGUAAGGGGAAGUGCAAUAUUUUAUGCUAAAAAUAAAAACAACCAGUAUUUAUUUCUCAUGUUA